AUUGCACUUUUGUUGGCACCAUUUUCAGUAGCCACAAAUGUUUGUGUGGGUACACUGCAAUAGACGCUGAGGACAAUUGGGUGUUUUCGGGGAACGCCACCUUGAAUGUGACCUCAUUGUGCAGCUCGUGGUUGCCUUUUCUGGGGAUUUCCUUUGUUGCUGCUUUAUUGCAAACAGAGUACAAAGAAGGUUUACUGUAUAGGAUUCAGUUAAGUACAGGUUAUACUGUAUUUGUGUGAGGACACCUUAAACCUGCUUUACCUGUGAUAUGUAACGCAGCGCUGUUUGACUGUUUCCCAGCAGUAUUCUCAGCUAUGCAGGUGUAUAUCCCAGCAUCUCCAGCUUUACAUUGAGUCAGAGCCAGACUGGCAACACCAUUUAGGAAGGAAGUAUUACUCGAGGGCACCCUCUCACCUAAAUGACAAAAUAACAAUGGGCAAACAGAUGUUUUUACUGUAGAAGAUGAUCAUCAAAAUCCCUCUAAACACAGGAUAUUGAAGGUUGAUCCCUGCUGAUAAUGGAGAGGAGACUGUACAGUCCCUGAGUGGUUGUUUGAAGUGAAGAGGCGGUUCAAGUGACUGGACCCGUGUCCGUCUGGAAUCUAAGCAGAGGGGAGAAGUUCAGGACAAUCGGGUUUGUUUUUAGAUGCGAUACAUUCAGGGUUCCUACACCCACUCCUUUUCCAAAGUGAAAUUCAAGCGUUUUCAAGGUGCAUUCAGGACAAUCUAGUACAAUCCAAUACAUCUGUGCUGCCAUAAUGUUUACUAUUAUGAUGCUUAUAUGUUUUUUUUGUUUUUUUUUUAUUGAUAUGUUUUAUUAUAUUGAGAGGUGUUUCUAGUAUUCAGCUCCUUUCAUGUAUAGAAAUAGGCAGGACAAAAAAUGAGAAAAUAUUCCAAAAUAAUGGUAAAGAUUGGAACAAAAAUUACAAUCACAUCAGAAAACAACAAUGUGUAAAAUGUUUUUGCACAUUUGUAAUGGCCACAUUAAAAUUCAAGUGUUUUCAAGGAUUCCCAGCACCCAUACGAGCCCUGGAGAAGUCAUGAGCGAAUGUUUCAGGGGAGAGUGAGGGGCCUUUCCACUCCCGACAUGAUCUAACUGAUCAAAGUGUUGAUGAACUUUAAAUGCACCGUGUGAAUGCAAAUGUAGUCAAAAAUGAAAAUAUUAAAACUGUAAGCUGAUGUGGGUGUGUAGUAUUCAUCUGUUUGGCCUCCAGGCAGGGCAGCGACUUCCAGUUAAUUGCACUCAUGUAUUUUGGUGUAUGUGUACAUUUGGGGAAGAAAAGUUGCAUGUCACUCCUGUGCACUCUGAAAAGCCUGAGGACAUUUCUGUUAACAACAGUAACUUAAUAACAAACAUGUGUUAUAAUAAUCCUGUUAUUUAUGUACCGGUAUAUAGAGCUCUAAAAGUAGCAAACUAGCCUCAGGGGAGCU